UUAGCACAGCUGCUAUCACCACAUGUUCCAGGGAAGUAAGCUGUUAACUAUUAGCAUUGCUGUUUUCUGGAUUGAAAGAGUCUCCAGUGUCCAGUGGCUAAGGGCAGAAGCAGGGAACAGGACUGGAAAACACGGUCACCCAUGUGCACCACCCCAUCAUGCUCAGGUAAUAACAAGGAUACGCUGGGACGCUUGGAAACAACAUUCCCACACAGCUCUGUAUGCUGAUGUAGGAAAACUUCAGUAA
rnacentral:lncRNA from 1 species